rnacentral:piRNA from 1 species
UGGGCAUUUUGAGAGUGAAUA